UCGUGCAGCCCUUGAUGGGCGUUUCCUCCCUACACUUCGGGCCGCCCCUCGGGCGGCCCUUUUUCUUGACGGCC
rnacentral:sRNA from 1 species